ACCCUUCAAUGUCUCUCUACUACUCUCAGGAUAAAUACACCCUUUCUAUAGAUAUAACCCUAUUUGACUCUCACCAGCCCCUCACAUGCAUCCUACACUCCAGCCUGGCCAGAUUAUACAUUCUUAUAGGCCAUGCAGGACAUACUUUGUUUUUGUUUGAGAUGGAGUUUCGCUCUUGCUGCCCAGGCUGGAGUGCAAUGGCUCGAUCUCGGCUCACUGCACCCUCCGCCUCCUGGGUUCAGGUGAUUCUCCUGCCUCAGCCUCCCAAGUAGCUGGGCAUUACAGGCAUGUGACACCAUGCCCAGCUAACUUUGUAUUUUUAUUAGAGACAGAGUUUCUCCAUGUUGGUCAGGCUGGUCUCGAACUCCCAACCUCAGGUGAUCCACCUGCCUCAACCUCCCAAAGUGCUGGGAUUACAGGCAUGAGCCACCGAGCCCGGCUGCAUACUUUUAUACUUUGUAAGUAUUAGUACUUAGUGGAGCUGACAAUCACAAUGCUACCUCCUGCCCCCUUCUACCCCACACAAAUGGAUGCAUGACCCAUCAGGCCAGGCAAAGGACUCCAUCAUCCUGACCAAAGUGAUUAGUUCAGGUGUGGGUUUGUGACCUAAGCAAAGCCAAUCAUAAUCUUCUGCUCAAAGCUCUCUUGCUUUUGAGGUUAAUGUGCUAAGAGGAUAUGAGAUUGAAGCUGCUGGCACCCAGCUCUCCCUGCCACAGGGCAGAGAAUGGGGCCAAGGCAUAAAGAGAAGCAGAGCUCUGAGAAAUGGAAUGAGAGAGACCUGAUGACAUUGUUUGAGCCCCUGAGAUGAGCCUUGCCUGAGAUGGCAAAAUCUUAAGAAGUCAUAUCCAGACCUGAGCAAGAAUUGCCCAUCACCAAGGGACCCUGGACUGAGGACUCAAUAAAGCAACUGGAUGUAAUUCUGUUUUAUCUCCCCUUGGGAAAUAGGUGAAUGUGGUUUUUGUUGGGUCUAUGAUUAUUGCAUUGUCAGGCAGGCACAUUUUUGAAAUUGUAUGUUUGUCAAGAAAAGUAUAGGUGGAUGCAAUAAAGGGUGGGAUAUAGUGGGUGCAUUUCAUUUAUCUGCCCAUCAUCUCUUCCUUAGGGACCCAUUUCUCCCCUUCCACACAGUCCUGAUGAAGUUGUCAAUUAUGGUGGCCUACUCUUCUAUCCUAGUGGUGGGCAUGUGUCCAAAGCUGGCCAAAGUCCUCCCUGGGAUUUUAGAACUAGAACUAAUGAGGCCAACAUAUGGAAGGAAGCAGAGCCAAGAGAUGGAGACAUCAUCCUUUGAACCCCUAGAUCCAGCCAUGCUUCAAGGCAGAUACAUGCUUUGAUUUAUCAGUUAUGUAAAUCAAUUAAUUUCCAAUUGGCCUAAACAUGUUUGAGUUGGGUUUUUGACACUUGCAACUGAAAAGGUCCAGACUAAUACAUGCACACAGAGAGACACAAACACCAUAUUGUUCAAGCUCAUCAGACAUUAUAUAAGUCUUCCAUGAUCUUACCAGGGGUCAGCAAACUUUUUGUCUAAAGGACAAGAUAGAUAGAUAUUUUAGGCUGUGUGGGCCAUAUGUGGUCUCCGUUUCACUUUCUUGUUUUGUUUUGACGACCCUUCAAAAAUGUAAAAAAAAUUAUUAGUUUGGUAGUUCAUACAAAAAUAGGCCACAGGCCAGAUUUGGCCCACAAGCCAUAGUUUGCCAACCCCUGAUCUAGACCAUGUCAAACCCUGAAGCUUUGGAAUCACACAGUCUGCCAGUCCUUAGCCCAUACUCUA
rnacentral:lncRNA from 1 species